UACGUAGGGCGCAAGCGUUGUCCGGAAUUAUUGGGCGUAAAGAGCUCGUAGGCGGCCUGUUACGUCUGCUGUGAAAUCCCGGGGCUUAACCCCGGGCGUGCAGUGGAUACGGGCAGGCUGGAGGCAGGCAGGGGAGAACGGAAUUCCCGGUGUAGCGGUGAAAUGCGCAGAUAUCAGGAGGAACACCGGUGGCGAAGGCGGAUCUCUGGGCCGUAACUGACGCUGAGGAGCGAAAGCAUGGGGAGCGAACAGG
rnacentral:rRNA from 1 species